UGACCAAAUCACCCUUGUGGUGGACUUGGAGGUGGCCAGUACUGGCCUCUCUUAAAACCAGUGGCGGUGCUCUUAAGCUCUACGCGUAGUAAUUUUUCUCGCUAUAGGGUCUUAAUUGUGCUUGCCAACAACCCCAAUUUUUUAAGG
rnacentral:misc_RNA from 1 species